GAAACAAGAGUCAUAAGGAGAUGACAUAGUCCUCCAUCCCCACAAAUCACUAAUAAAAAGUGUCAGGGGAUCAACCAAGUACGCGCUUAUGCUAAAUAUGAAUGA